AAAGGAUGGUUUAGUUCGUCACAGAGGAGCCAACUUUGGAACGAUUCUCCCCUUUAUAUGUAAGAGGAUUGGGCAGGAGUUGAAGGAAUCGUAUAAGUGAUAUCAGGACAGUGCAGCCAACUUCUGCCCCAGUAAAGGGGAUCUUUCAGAGGAUUCCCUAUUCCUGUCGCUCUUCCCGGUUGUGGUAUCCUGGUGGUGCUGAGGAUGUACAGCAGCUUGUGAACAGUUUGUUUUCAGCCAAACAACGAAAGAGAUGAGCUAUGAGGAAAGGGGAAUAAACACAAUUUUCUACCUUUACCACUUGGACAUAGUUCAUGUGAUAACCUGACGACAGCUUUGUCCAUCACAUCUACUGGGAUACGUACGAGCUUGUGAAAUGGCUUGAGGAACAGGAAUCAGUUCAGAGAAUCAACUGAUAACGUGGAAAGAAAAAGUCAUCUUUUUGUUCCUUUGCUUUAUUAUUUUUCAUUAAGCUUCUUACUUUGAGGCAAUUAUAAAUUCACAUAAUUAAAAGAAACGCUAUAGAGA